ACGCUCGACACCUACGGGAGGCGGCAGUCGGGAAUAUUGCGCAAUGGAGGAAACUCUGACGCAGUGACGCCGCGUAUGGGAAGAAGGUUUUCGGAUUGUAAACCAUUUUAGACAAGGAAGAAACAAGACAGUACUUGUAGAAUAAGCUCCGGCUAACUACGCGCCAGCAGCCGCGGUAAUCUGAGCGGGCUGGCAAGGC
rnacentral:rRNA from 1 species